AGCCUAGAUUAGGCAAAUCGAGAAGUGUUUCUCUAUCCUAGACCUAAUCGAAGAAUAGAAGGUCCCCCUUGCCACCUUUAUGUUGAUCAGUGAAGCAUAACACUAGUGGUGACUUAAGAAGAUAUUCUGCCCACCCCCAUCACUUAGGAAGUCUUCAUAGAUCCUUUUUUUGAAAACUUUUUUCCUGUAUAUGUCCGAGAAAAGGAGGAGGAAUUUUAGGACCUCUGUCAAGAAAACAUGACUAUUAGUUAAUAUGCAAUUUGGUUUACCCAGUUAUCUCGAUUUACCCCUUUACUAGUCACCCCUGAGAGUCGUAAGGCUUGGAAAUUUUUGAAGGGUCUUUGUCUAAACAUUUAUGAUCGAGUAGCAUUGUUAAGGCCUAACUUUUGCACGGAGGUGUGCGAACAUGCCAAGUUUAUCGAAGAACUCAUCUUGGCCCAACACCAACACACCACUUGAAUCUAUACCCAGCAGUAGCAAAAACAGCAGUAAAAGAGAAGGUUACCUGACCUUAAUAAUGAUCGCCCUGACAAAAGAUCCCAAAUUGCUUUGUCCCCACCCACUGGAAAUCCUACUCAACCUCCCCAACCAUGCAAGAAUUGUGGACAUUUCUAUAGUUAUUA
rnacentral:lncRNA from 1 species